GAGGCAGCAGUAGGGAAUCUUCCGCAAUGGACGCAAGUCUGACGGAGCAACGCCGCGUGAGUGAAGAAGGUCUUCGGAUCGUAAAGCUCUGUUGUUAGAGAAGAACAGCGCAUAGAGUAACUGUUAUGCGUGUGACGGUAUCUAACCAGAAAGCCACGGCUAACUACGUGCCAGCAGCCGCGGUAAUACGUAGGUGGCGAGCGUUGUCCGGAUUUAUUGGGCGUAAAGGGAGUGUAGGCGGUCUUUUAAGUCUGAUGUGAAAGCCCACGGCUCAACCGUGGAGGGUCAUUGGAAACUGGGAGACUUGAGUGCAGAAGAGGAGAGCGGAAUUCCAUGUGUAGCGGUGAAAUGCGUAGAUAUAUGGAGGAACACCAGUGGCGAAGGCGGCUCUCUGGUCUGUAACUGACGCUGAGGCUCGAAAGCGUGGGGAGCAAACAGGAUUAGAUACCCUGGUAGUCACGCCGUAAACGAUGAGUGCUAAGUGUUGGAGGGGUUCCACCCUUCAGUGCUGGAGUUAACGCAAUAAGCACUCCGCCUGGGGA
rnacentral:rRNA from 1 species